UGCGGGGUAGAGCAGCCUGGUAGCUCGUCGGGCUCAUAACCCGGAGGUCGCUGGUUCAAAUCCAGCCCCCGCUA
rnacentral:tRNA from 1 species